UCUUAUAUUGGUUUCCCAACGUGAUGAAAAUUGAGCCCAAAUGAGUCAUAAUUUUCUUCUCUCACCCAUUCGUGGCAUUAGGUUGACGUGGAAGUAAUGCCCAUGCUCCUUAAAUGCUUUACCCAUUCGCGUUGCAAUCCUGGCCCAUGGAUUAUAACUAGUUCCAUCGGAUGCAGAACUUUUGAAGGGUAAACAACAUGUUGUUUUUUACCCACAAAGCGUUGAUUGAUUGAUACAUACGAUGGCUUUGCCCAUUUGAGUCCCUCUUUAAUUAGUUUGGACGAGGCUCAUGUAGUGCUAGCAUCAUGAAAGAAUGCUACUAGGUUGAUCUUGCCAGUAGUCAUACGCUUGUCUCAA
rnacentral:misc_RNA from 1 species